GAACGCUAGCGGCAGGCUUAAUACAUGCAAGUCGAGGGGCAGCGCAGUGUAGCAAUACAUGGGCGGCGACCGGCAAACGGGUGCGUAACACGUACGCAACCUUCCCGUUACUGUGGGAUAGCCCAGGGAAACUUGGAUUAAUACCACAUAUUGCCAUUGAGAGGCAUCUCUUGAUGGCCAAAGAAUUUCGGUAACGGAUGGGCGUGCGGUUGAUUAGGUAGUUGGCGGGGUAACGGCCCACCAAGCCUACGAUCAAUAGCUGAUGUGAGAGCAUGAUCAGCCACACGGGCACUGAGACACGGGCCCGACUCCUACGGGAGGCAGCAGUAAGGAAUAUUGGGCAAUGGACGAAAGUCUGACCCAGCCAUGCCGCGUGAAGGAUGAAGGUCCUCUGGAUUGUAAACUUCUUUUUUCUGGGGAGAAAUGCAUCUUUUCUAAGGUGUUUGACGGUACCAGAAGAAUAAGCACCGGCUAACUCCGUG
rnacentral:rRNA from 1 species